rnacentral:lncRNA from 1 species
GGUAGCGCCCUUUCGAUUUAAUUGUUUACGUAUGUGAUGUUAAGCGUGAUAUAGUAGUGUUUCGGAUGAAUGCGCCAAAAAAGUAGGCAAAAUGUUAAAAAAGUGGACGGGUAACUGAAGAACAGUAAUAGGUGGAUAUGUAACCGGCUAACAUCUUGUAUAACAUUAAGGAUGUAUAGUGGUCGUUUGCCUGAGACAGGGAGAAGGCCUGUGCGCUGGGGGCGUCCACAUGACGAUUAUAUAUCAGAUUAUGAGGCACAUUUAGCAGCCUCAAACCGCUAUGUAAAUUACAACUCAACGACAUCGUCGAUAUAUGGAGGAGAUGCUGACGCUAUCAAAGUAUCUGACAUUGACCUGUUCAUCAGGUACAAUACUCAGGCCCACCAUACUAAUGAGUUUGAAUUUUACCAAUGCGCAAGUUUAUGGGACUGACAAGGAAGUGCUUGUUGCUAGACGAGGUCAGCAGUUCUUCAUUAAGAUUACGUUCAACAGACCGUAUGAUGCUGCGAAAGAUGACGUGCGUUUAGUUUUCCAAUUUGG